GGAGACGUGACCGAGAGGCCGAAGGUGCUCCCCUGCUAAGGGAGUGUUUGCUCAAAAAGCGAACCGUGGGUUCGAAUCCCACCGUCUCCG
rnacentral:tRNA from 1 species